UACGUAGGGGGGCAAGCGUUGUUCGGAAUUACUGGGCGUAAAGGGCGCGUAGGCGGCACGGCAAGUCAGGAGUGAAAGCCCCGGGCUCAGCCCGGGAAGUGCGCUCGAAACUGCGCGGCUCGAGUGCCGGAGGGGAGAGUGGAAUUCCUGGUGUAGCGGUGAAAUGCGUAGAUAUCGGGAGGAACACCAGUGGCGAAGGCGACUUCCUGGCCUGUUCUUGACGCUGAGGCGCGAAAGCUAGGGGAGCAAACGGGG
rnacentral:rRNA from 1 species